UCUGAAUCUGCGUACGGCUCCGCAAACCAGUUGUAAACUACAGCAAGCAAGCACGGGGGGUUGGCCUUCACGGGUCGGUCCCUCGGGCGAUAUGGAUAACCCUGGUAAUUCUGAGGCUAAUACAAGAACGUAACCCCUGGCUGACUGAGCCCUCGCCCUCGGGUGGGGAUACUUGGGAGGCUGGGAAGCGUGCGAGUACUAAUGCGAAUGAGAACCGGGAAUGGGCGCACGCUUGGACCGCGCUACAAAGGAUCAUUACUCGGCAAUCCCUCCGGGGUGCGCUUUGUUUUGGCCCUAGCGGCUCUUGCGGUGUGCUUCUGACCUAUCAACUAGACGGCAGCGUAACGGACAUGCUAUGG
rnacentral:rRNA from 1 species